rnacentral:misc_RNA from 1 species
GUAGGUGAACCUGCGGAAGGAUCAUUAACACGUAUCCACGUAUCAACAAUCUGUGAACUCAAUCUCCCUGCGCGAGGAAAAGCUGUUAGUGUAGUUAGUGGUGGGUGUACAGUUGGGUAACCAAUUUGUAUACAGCUAUGGUAACUCGGGUUUCGAACCCAAUGCUUUCUUCGUCGUAGGCCUCUUAUCUCCUCCACUUCCAACCAACCAUUUUCACCUUGAAUUCAUCUUGACUGAUGUACUUAUGUAA